CCUACGAAGAAAGACCUACGCCACGACCGCCGCCCGCGGGUCGCCCGCUCCCUCGCGCCCCUGUUGCUCCCUCCUCGAUCCCGAUCUGGAUCGAGGGGACGAGGAGCUCCUGCCUCCCCGACGGCCGGCCUCCUCCUCGCCCCGCUGCUGCGUCCGGCGCCGCCACGGCCUCUGGAGCCAGGGAAGCCAUGGCCUGAGCUCGGCCUCGAGGUCCCCGCCGCCGUCUCCUGCAGCUUCUGCCCCGCCGCCUCACCGCCCAAGCUCGCCGUCGCACCAACCUCGGCGCCGCGCCGCCGCCGGCUCUGGUCGCCUCCACCUCCGCUCCAGUGCUUAAGGAUGGAGGAGAACGGCCUGAAGUUCGUGCUCGAUCUGGUGGUCAGGUUCCCACUUCGGCAAGAGUUCGCCGAUGACCUUAAGCACUCCGAUCCGAUGCCGCUAAGGCUGCCACCCAGGGGGAGGCUGGCGCUCUUGGCACGGAGGAUUCAAUUGGUGAAUCUGGCUGCACCCUGAGGUUAAUCGGGAGGCACCUGGAUGGACGAAAAGGGAAAGCCUAAGGCCGAGAAUAGCCGAUCAUGCAUGUAUGAGUGUCCCGUGCUGAUCAGAUUGCUACAUGCAGCUAAUAAAUAGUUGGUUCAUAACUGAGCACAUAAAGAAUCACAACCAUUUGAUGUUCGUUACACUCAGGGAGAAGGUUCAUUGGCACAUAGACUUCUGUGUUAACAGGGCGACAACGUCAAGGAUGGCAUCUGCGAGAACUCUUUUGUGUUAGAUAAAUUGAUGAUUAUGUCUAGAUCUCCGGGGGCAGACACUAUCAUACUGAAGCUCAGCCGGACCACGACUGUCAACAGGGUCACCGUAUUCUUUGAGGAACACAAACAAUCCAGGAUCCAAAUGAGCUUGGUUACGUACUAAAUUAUUGUUGAGGAUCUCAGGUAAUCGUUGCAGUAGAAGAUUACGCCCCUGAUCAUCAUUCUCAUUUUCAAACUUGCCAUUUAUCAGAGGAUUUGGAUGGGGUGCAUUCAUGCAUUAUAUUGGAGCAAGGACCUGCCGAGGAGGGGGAUACCAUGGGGAGGCGAACCUGGUAAAAUAAGGGUGGAAAGUAUACUAUAGGAAAGACUGUGGGGUUUGUGUAUCCUUAUCCAGGACAUUGUGAAGGCUUCUGAUGCAGUUUACAAGAAGCAAUUGGUGAGCUAAUUCAGAGAUAAGUGAAAUGAUAAUAAGAAGGUUAAAUAAUGUUGUUCAAUCUUUCCGUCAAGCAACCUGUUUGGCCCCAAAUGUCCGCACCGACGCGGUGACGCCCGUGGGCGCCACCGUUCCUUCCUGAAGGGCAUCGGGUGUUGCUUGGCAUGCGGAGGUUCAAGGUGCUAGGAGCGAGGUGGUAAAUCUCCGGUGGGCGCAGCGGUUGCGGGUCAUCAUCAUUUUCGUCGAUCCGACGCUGUCGACAUUAUUUUCUCUCUUCUUUCUCUUUUUUUUUCUUUUGGGCGUGCUUGUGCUGUUUGCCCCAGCAUUGGACUCUUGGUUGUAUUGGGUUGUUGCUAUAUCUAUAUAGCGGGGCGAAAGCCUAUUUCGUAAGAUUCUUCCAUGAAUUCAAGACUUGGCAAACCACUCCCAUUACAAGGUUCCAUAACACAUGCUGGAUUUGUAUGUCAAGAUAUCUGAAGGGCAAAAACUUAGUACAUUUAUUCUGUUUUUUUAAUAAAUCUCCCUCUUGAA